AUGCACGCUGGCGGCGUGCUUCACCCAUGCAAGUCGAACGGAAAGGCUCCUGCUUGCAGGGGUACUCGAGUGGCGAACGGGUGAGUAACACGUGGGUGAUCUGCCCUGCACUUCGGGAUAAGCCUGGGAAACUGGGUCUAAUACCGGAUAGGACGAUGGUUUGGAUGCCAUUGUGGAAAGUUUUUCGGUGUGGGAUGAGCUCGCGGCCUAUCAGCUUGUUGGUGGGGUAAUGGCCUACCAAGGCGUCGACGGGUAGCCGGCCUGAGAGGGUGUACGGCCACAUUGGGACUGAGAUACGGCCCAGACUCCUACGGGAGGCAGCAGUGGGGAAUAUUGCACAAUGGGCGCAAGCCUGAUGCAGCGACGCCGCGUGGGGGAUGACGGCCUUCGGGUUGUAAACUCCUUUCGCUAGGGACGAAGCGCAAGUGACGGUACCUGGAGAAGAAGCACCGGCUAACUACGUG
rnacentral:rRNA from 1 species